CCUGGCCCAGGAGGCUUUGUAGGUAUGGCUGCUGUGUCACAUGCAUGUCGGUAGGCAGCAGAGAAGAGAGAGGCGGUGUCUACACUCAGUGUUCUGACCUGUUCAUCUGAAUGAUUAGUAGCCUAGCAUU